rnacentral:rRNA from 1 species
UACGGAGGAUGCAAGCGUUAUCCGGAUUCAUUGGGUUUAAAGGGUGCGUAGGCGGACUAUUAAGUCAGUGGUGAAAGCCUGCAGCUUAACUGCAGAACUGCCAUUGAUACUGAUAGUCUUGAGUUUGGUUAAGGUAGGCGGAAUGUGUAAUGUAGCGGUGAAAUGCUUAGAUAUUACACAGAACACCAAUUGCGUAGGCAGCUUACUGAGCCGACACUGACGCUGAGGCACGAAAGCGUGGGGAGUCGAACA